rnacentral:misc_RNA from 1 species
CCCUAGCCCCGAUAGUAGCGGUUACCCCACAGCAAGCGGUUAGCCCUUCGACUUUGCUUAGGCUAACGUUUUGGCGCGAGGAGUAUGAGUGGAUAGCGGGAUGAAGC